rnacentral:rRNA from 1 species
CAAGGUUUCCGUAGGUGAACCUGCGGAAGGAUCAUUCACAAGAUUAUAUUUUAUAUUACUUUGUGGAACAUUUGGUUGAAUUUACAUGUUUUAUUACAAAAAAUUAAUUAUAAUUAAAAAAAUAAUUUUAAGAAAACCUCCAACAACGGAUCUCUUGGUUCCCAGAUCGAUGAAGAGCGCAGCGAAUUGCGAAAUGUGAUGUGUAUUGCAGUGAAUCAUCAAUUCUUGAACGCACAUGGCACCCCUUUUAGGGGUAUGCUUGUAUGAGGGUGUUUAAUAUGAAAUUGCUUUGGCUUUUUUUAAAUAAAUGGUUUUUCAAAUUGUUACUAAUAGACGAAAGAAUCAGUGCAACAAGCUGUGUUGAAUCUUUCAUUAAAUCUUUUAGUUAACUACUUUAACUAUUUGCACCUCAUAUCAAGCAAGACUACCCGCUGAACUUAAGCAUAUCAA